CCUACGGGUGGCUGCAGUGGGGAAUAUUGGGCAAUGGACGAAACUCUGACCCAGCAAUGCCGCGUGAAGGAAGAAGGCUUUCGGGUUGUAAAGUUCUUUUGUCAGGGACGAAGCCAGUGACGGUACCUGAAGAAUAAGCCCCGGCUAACUACGUGCCAGCAGCCGCGGUAAUACGUAGGUGGCAAGCGUUAUUCGGAUUUACUGGGCGUAAAGGGCGGGUAGGCGGGGAAGCAAGUCGGAUGUGAAAACCCCGGGCUUAAACUGGGGGCUGCAUUUGAAACUGUUUGUAUUGAGUGCAGGAGAGGCAAGUGGAAGUCCGGGUGUAGCGGUGGAAUGCGUAGAUAUACGGAGGAACACCAGUGGCGAAGGCGGAUAGCUGGACAGUAACUGACGCUGAGGCGCGAAAGCGUGGGGAGCAAACAGGAUUAGAUACCCUGGUAGUC
rnacentral:rRNA from 1 species